CGAACGCUGGCGGCAUGCCCAACACAUGCAAGUCGAACGCGUGCCUUCGGGCACGAGUGGCGGACGGGUGAGUAACGCGUGGGAAUUUGCCUUGGGGUACGGAAUAACCGCGGGAAACUGCGGCUAAUACCGUAUACGUCCUUCGGGAGAAAGAUUUAUCGCCCCAAGAUGAGCCCGCGUCCGAUUAGGUAGUUGGUGAGGUAACGGCUCACCAAGCCUUCGACCGGUAGCUGGUCUGAGAGGAUGAUCAGCCACACUGGGACUGAGACACGGCCCAGACUCCUACGGGAGGCAGCAGUGGGGAAUAUUGGACAAUGGGGGAAACCCUGAUCCAGCCAUGCCGCGUGAGUGAAGAAGGCCUUAGGGUUGUAAAGCUCUUUCGGUGGUGACGAUGAUGACGGUAGCCACAGAAGAAGCCCCCGCUAACUCCGUGCCAGCAACCGCGGUAAUAC
rnacentral:rRNA from 1 species